rnacentral:rRNA from 1 species
GGAAUAUUGGACAAUGGGCGAAAGCCUGAUCCAGCCAUGCCGCGUGUGUGAAGAAGGUCUUCGGAUUGUAAAGCACUUUAAGUUGGGAGGAAGGGCAUUAACCUAAUACGUUAGUGUUUUGACGUUACCGACAGAAUAAGCACCGGCUAACUCUGUGCCAGCAGCCGCGGUAAUACAGAGGGUGCAAGCGUUAAUCGGAAUUACUGGGCGUAAAGCGCGCGUAGGUGGUUCGUUAAGUUGGAUGUGAAAUCCCCGGGCUCAACCUGGGAACUGCAUUCAAAACUGUCGAGCUAGAGUAUGGUAGAGGGUGGUGGAAUUUCCUGUGUAGCGGUGAAAUGCGUAGAUAUAGGAAGGAACACCAGUGGCGAAGGCGACCACCUGGACUGAUACUGACACUGAGGUGCGAAAGCGUGGGGAGCAAACAGGAUUAGAUACCCUAG